rnacentral:rRNA from 1 species
GACGUAGGGCGCGAGCGUUGUCCGGAUUUAUUGGGCGUAAAGAGCUCGUAGGCGGCUCGUUGCGUCGGCUGUGAAAACCCGCAGCUCAACUGUGGGCUUGCAGCCGAUACGGGCGGGCUUGAGUUCGGUAGGGGAGACUGGAAUUCCAGGUGUAGCGGUGAAAUGCGUAGAUAUCUGGAGGAACACCGGUGGCGAAGGCGGCAUCCUGGAUCAACACUGACGCUGAGGAGCGAAAGCCAGGGGAGCAAACGGG